UCUGCCUACGGGACGCAGCAGUGGGGAAUAUUGCACAAUGGGGGAAACCCUGAUGCAGCGACGCCGCGUGAGUGAAGAAGUAUUUCGGUAUGUAAAGCUCUAUCAGCAGGGAAGAUAAUGACGGUACUUGAGUAAGAAGCCCCGGCUAACUACGUGCCAGCAGCCGCGGUAAUACGUAGGGGGCAAGCGUUAUCCGGAUUUACUGGGUGUAAAGGGAGCGCAGGCGGCUUGGCAAGUCUGAUGUGAAAGGCUGGGGCUCAACCCCAGGACUGCAUUGGAAACUGUUAGGCUGGAGUGUCGGAGAG
rnacentral:rRNA from 1 species